rnacentral:rRNA from 1 species
ACGGGUGAGUAACGCGUGGGAACAUACCCUUUUCUACGGAAUAGCUCUGGGAAACUGGAAUUAAUACCGUAUACGCCCUACGGGGGAAAGAUUUAUCGGGGAAGGAUUGGCCCGCGUUGGAUUAGCUAGUUGGUGGGGUAAAGGCCUACCAAGGCGACGAUCCAUAGCUGGUCUGAGAGGAUGAUCAGCCACAUUGGGACUGAGACACGGCCCAAACUCCUACGGGAGGCAGCAGUGGGGAAUAUUGGACAAUGGGCGCAAGCCUGAUCCAGCCAUGCCGCGUGAGUGAUGAAGGCCUUAGGGUUGUAAAGCUCUUUCACCGAUGAAGAUAAUGACGGUAGUCGGAGAAGAAGCCCCGGCUAACUUCGUGCCAGCAGCCGCGGUAAUACGAAGGGGGCUAGCGUUGUUCGGAAUUACUGGGCGUAAAGCGCACGUAGGCGGAUAUUUAAGUCAGGGGUGAAAUCCCAGAGCUCAACUCUGGAACUGCCUUUGAUACUGGGUAUCUUGAGUAUGGAAGAGGUAAGUGGAAUUGCGAGU